UUUGACUAAAGAAAUUACGGUAGAGAAAUUUAGAGAGAAUGAUAAGAGACAAACAAAUUGUAGAAGCUUGAAUAUAUAUAUAGACGUAAAUAUAUCAUGAAUUGAUUAGGAUUGUACAUUGUGUGAUUAGCAAAUCUAUCCAAAUUAGGACAGCAGAAAACUUGUCUACUAUAUUAAUUGGCAAUAUAUUUUCAAAAAUAAAAUAAUAUAAGGAUAAAAGCUUUUUUUAACGUCUCAAGACAAGAUAUAUAUUUAAAAGAUUAAAAAAACAUGGGGAUAGAAGUUUUUUUUACGUAUGGAUGAGGGGUGUCAGAAAGAGGCAAGUUUUGGUCGACAGUAUAUUUCCUCAGCCACUAAGAACUCAACUUGAAAUGUGAGAGGGUUCAAUUGAACCCCCUCGCCCCAUAGUGGCUACGCCACUGGGUGUCGCUCUCGCCGAUUCUUCUUCUCAGCCUAUGCCGCUGCUUUGUUUCAUCCCACGCAAAGUGCUUAACUUGACCAAUAAUUCUUUUGAAAGGAAGAGCAGUUCACUUUGGGAUGAAACCCUUGCAGUUCUUGAUCGUGGAAGGCCCUUUCCAUUCUUCACAUGCAUUGAAGAUGAACCUUUUUUUUUUCUUUUUUCUUUUAUGGAAAAUUUUAUAAUGUAUUAAUGUAUGUAUGAUAAAUAUGUCUUUAAAAUAAUAAAAUUAGUUAUUUAAGUUGUAAUAAAAAUUGACGCAUGAGAAAUAUUAACACAUCAUAAUCAUACCCUAUUUUUACAUUAUUCUCUUUCAUUACUUACGGUAUCUUAAAUUUUUUUU
rnacentral:lncRNA from 1 species